rnacentral:rRNA from 1 species
UACGUAGGUGGCGAGCGUUGUCCGGAUUUAUUGGGCGUAAAGCGCGCGCAGGCGGUUGUCUAAGUCUGCUGUGAAAUCCCCCGGCUCAACUGGGAGGGGGCGGCGGAGACUGGGCGACUGGAGGGACCUAGAGGCCGGUGGAAUUCCCGGUGUAGUGGUGAAAUGCGUAGAGAUCGGGAGGAACACCUGUGGCGAAGGCGGCCGGCUGGGGGUACCCUGACGCUGAGGCGCGACAGCGUGGGGAGCGAACCGG